AUCACAAUCACCAUUUACACAGAACAAACAGUUAACAGCUGUAUUCAGAACAUAUUAUUGGAAGGUAUACCAAUUUUAGUUUAGAUUUAUUUUAGGGAUUCUUAUGUAUACAUUUUCUUAAUUAACUUCAUUACUUUAAUCUACUAUAGUAUUGUAUUUAAAGAAAGGAUCCAUUUAUAUAGCGCGCUCAUAACUCAACUAUUUGUCUAAAACUACCAUUAACUAAUCUGAGAUGAUGCUGCAUCAACUUAAAUCUUACAGAAAUUGAACAAACAUCUGGACCAGAUUAAACAGACAUGGUUUCACCUGAAUCUUUCAGAACUCUCAGAGACUUAAAAAAAUGUAUACUAUACCAUGUUUUAAAGGCAUGGCAAACCUUUAGACCGGUCAGUCUCCAAGAGCCCUUAGUAACACAGGUAAAAAACCUUUGUCCAUGAUGUCUGAUUCAGGCUAUAUACCACAAUUUAAAAUAACACAUAAUGUGAGACAUAGAAGACACAAGCAGUAGUUAUUACACUGGAUCAUUUAAAAGGAACCUGUUGCAAUAAAAAGGUUAGUUUACAGUGCAAAAUAAAGCAUGUGUUGGACCGC